rnacentral:rRNA from 1 species
AGGAAAAGAAACUAACAAGGAUUCCCUAGUAACUGCGAGUGAAGCGGGAAAAGCUCAAAUUUAAAAUCUGGCGGUCUCUGGCUGUCCGAGUUGUAAUCUAGAGAAGUGUUGCCCGCGCUGGACCGUGUACAAGUCUCCUGGAAUGGAGCGUCAUAGAGGGUGAGAAUCCCGUCUUUGACACGGACUACCAGGGCUUUGUGGUACGCUCUCAAAGAGUCGAGUUGUUUGGGAAUGCAGCUCAAAAUGGGUGGUAAAUUCCAUCUAAAGCUAAAUAUUGGCGAGAGACCGAUAGCGAACAAGUACCGUGAGGGAAAGAUGAAAAGAACUUUGGAAAGAGAGUUAAACAGUACGUGAAAUUGCUGAAAGGGAAACGCUUGAAGUCAGUCGCGUUGGCCGGGGAUCAGCCUCGCUCUUUUGCGUGGUGUACUUUCCGGUCGACGGGUCAGCAUCAAUUUUGAUCGCUGGAAAAAGGCCUGAGGAAUGUGGCAGCUCCGGCUGUGUUAUAGCUUCUGGUCACAUACAGCGGUUGGGAUUGAGGAACUCAGCACGCCGCAAGGCCGGGUUUCGACCACGUUCGUGCUUAGGAUGCUGGCAUAAUGGCUUUAAGCGACCCGUCUUGAAACACGGACCAAGGAGUCUAACAUGCCUGCGAGUGUUUGGGUGGAAAACCCGAGCGCGUAAUGAAAGUGAAAGUUGAGAUCCCUGUCGCGGGGAGCAUCGACGCCCGGACCAGAACUUUUGGGACGGAUCCGCGGUAGAGCAUGUAUGUUGGGACCCGAAAGAUGGUGAACUAUGCCUGAAUAGGGUGAAGCCAGAGGAAACUCUGGUGGAGGCUCGUAGCGAUUCUGACGUGCAAAUCGAUCGUCAAAUUUGGGUAUAGGGGCGAAAGACUAAUCGAACCAUCUA